UACGUAGGGUGCAAGCGUUAAUCGGAAUUACUGGGCGUAAAGCGUGCGCAGGCGGUUAUGUAAGACAGUUGUGAAAUCCCCGGGCUCAACCUGGGAACUGCAUCUGUGACUGCAUAGCUAGAGUACGGUAGAGGGGGAUGGAAUUCCGCGUGUAGCAGUGAAAUGCGUAGAUAUGCGGAGGAACACCGAUGGCGAAGGCAAUCCCCUGGACCUGUACUGAUGCUCAUGCACGAAAGCGUGGGGAGCAAACAGG
rnacentral:rRNA from 1 species